rnacentral:rRNA from 1 species
UGGGGAAUAUUGCGCAAUGGGGGCAACCCUGACGCAGCCAUGCCGCGUGUGUGAAGAAGGCCUUCGGGUUGUAAAGCACUUUCAGAGGGGAGGAAAGGGCGCUGGCUAAUAUCCAGUGCAGUUGACGCUACCCUCAGAAGAAGCACCGGCUAAUUCCGUGCCAGCAGCCGCGGUAAUACGGAAGGUGCGAGCGUUAAUCGGAAUUACUGGGCGUAAAGCGCGCGUAGGCGGCUUGGUAAGUCGGGUGUGAAAGCCCCGGGCUCAACCUGGGAACUGCAUUCGAUACUGCCGGGCUAGAGUACGAGAGAGGGGGGUGGAAUUCCAGGUGUAGCGGUGAAAUGCGUAGAGAUCUGGAGGAACACCAGUGGCGAAGGCGGCCCCCUGGUUCGAUACUGACGCUGAGGUGCGAAAGCGUGGGGAGCAAACAGG